rnacentral:rRNA from 1 species
GAUGAACGCUGGCGGCGUGCCUAAUACAUGCAAGUCGAGCGAACGGACGAGAAGCUUGCUUCUCUGAUGUUAGCGGCGGACGGGUGAGUAACACGUGGAUAACCUACCUAUAAGACUGGGAUAACUUCGGGAAACCGGAGCUAAUACCGGAUGAUAUUUUGAACCGCAUGGUUCAAAAGUGAAAGACGGUCUUGCUGUCACUUAUAGAUGGAUCCGCGCUGCAUUAGCUAGUUGGUAAGGUAACGGCUUACCAAGGCAACGAUGCAUAGCCGACCUGAGAGGGUGAUCGGCCACACUGGAACUGAGACACGGUCCAGACUCCUACGGGAGGCAGCAGUAGGGAAUCUUCCGCAAUGGGCGAAAGCCUGACGGAGCAACGCCGCGUGAGUGAUGAAGGUCUUCGGAUCGUAAAACUCUGUUAUUAGGGAAGAACAUAUGUGUAAGUAACUAUGCACAUCUUGACGGUACCUAAUCAGAAAGCCACGGCUAACUACGUG